rnacentral:rRNA from 1 species
UGCGGUUAUACUUUGAGGCUAAACGAAAUAUAUUAGAGUUAGUUAGGUGAAAAGGAUGUAAAUAAAUUAUUAGUAGUAAAAGGUGAAAUUAGAUUGUUAUUAAAUAAUUAAAAUAUAUCAAAACUGAAGCUAAAAAAGUUUGAUUAAAGACUAGGAUUAGAUACCCUAUUAUUUUAAAUUUAAAUAUUAAUAAACUCUAGAUAAGUAGUAGAUAGGUACUUAAAAAUUAAAAAAUUUGGCGGUGAUUUAAUCUUUUCAGAGGAACUUGUUUUUUAAUCGAUAAACCACGUUUAAUCUUACUUAUUUUGGUAUAAACAGUAUGUAUACCAUCAUUAACAGGUAAUUUUAAAAGAAAAAAUUACUAAAAAUAAUUAAUUAAAAAAAUUAGAUCAUGGUGCAGCUUAUAAAUAAGGUAAAAUGAGUUACAAUAAAGUUUUUUAUAUGAAUUAGUAAAGGAAGAGUUUACUAUAAAGGUGGAUUUGAUUGUAAAUGUGGAUUAAUAAGCUUAUUUGAUAUUGGUGCUAAAUCAUGUACAUAUCGCCCGUCGCUUUCG